rnacentral:ncRNA from 1 species
GGGGAGUACGUUUACAAGAAUGAAACUCAAAUGAAUUGACAGGGGCCUGCACAAGCAGUGGAGCAUGUGGUUUAAUUCGAUGCAAAGUGAAGAACCUUACGAGGGUUUGACAUGCCGCGAAUCCUCUUGAAAGAGAGGGGUGCCUUCGGGAACGCGGACACAAGUGGUGCAUGGCUGUCGUCAGCUCGUGUCGUAAUGUGUUGAGUUAAGUCCCGCAAUGAGCGCAGCCCUCGUGUUUAGUUUCCACCGUUGAGUUUGAAACCUUGAGCAGAUUGUCGAUGAUAAGCGGAGAAAGGUGAAGAUGACGUCAAGUCAUCAUGCCCCUUAUGCACUAGGCGACACACAUGCUACAAUGGACUGGACAAAGGGUCGCGAUCUCGCGAGGGUGAGCUAACUCCGAAAAAGGCAUUCGAACCUUUGUCCUCUUAUAUUGGCAACAAUGCGUAUAUCAAUCAAGCUAAGACUCAGUCGGCUUAAAAA